rnacentral:rRNA from 1 species
AUACGGAGGAUGCAAGCGUUAUCCGGAAUCAUUGGGCGUAAAGAGUCCGUAGGUGGCACUUCAAGUCUGCUUUCAAAGACCGAAGCUCAACUUCGGAAAGGGAGUGGAGACUGAAGAGCUAGAGUAUAGUAGGGGUAGAGGGAAUUCCUAGUGUAGCGGUGAAAUGCGUAGAGAUUAGGAAGAACACCAGUGGCGAAGGCGCUCUACUGGGCAUAUACUGACACUGAGGGACGAAAGCUAGGGGAGCGAAAGGGAUUAGAUACCCCUGUAGUCCUAGCGGUAAACGAUGGAUACUAGGCGUAGUGCUGUUAGAAGGACUGUGCCGAAGCUAACGCGUUAAGUAUCCCGCCUGGGGAGUACGCACGCAAGUGUGAA